GACGUAGGGGGCGAGCGUUGUCCGGAAUUAUUGGGCGUAAAGAGCUCGUAGGCGGUUUGUUGCGUCGGCUGUGAAAUCCCGAGGCUCAACCUCGGGUCUGCAGUCGAUACGAGCAAACUAGAGUGUUGCAGGGGAGACUGGAAUUCCUGGUGUAGCGGUGAAAUGCGCAGAUAUCAGGAGGAACACCGGUGGCGAAGGCGGGUCUCUGGGCAACAACUGACGCUGAGGAGCGAAAGCGUGGGGAGCGAACAGG
rnacentral:rRNA from 1 species